CAGCCGCCGCGGGAAUACAGAGGGUGCGAGCGUUAAUCGGAUUUACUGGGCGUAAAGCGUGUGUAGGUUGUUGUUCAAGUCAGUUGUGAAAUCCCUGGGCUCAACCUGGGAACUGCUUCUGAGACUGAACGACUAGAGUACGGUAGAGGGUGGUGGAAUUUCCGGUGUAGCGGUGAAAUGCGUAGAUAUCGGAAGGAACAUCAAUGGCGAAGGCAGCCACCUGGGCCUGUACUGACACUGAGACACGAAAGCGUGGGGAUCAAACAGGAUUAGAUACCCCAGUAGUCCCUGUCUCUUAUAU
rnacentral:rRNA from 1 species